GAUGAAGAACGUAGCGAAAUGCGAUAAGUAAUGUGAAUUGCAGAAUUCAGUGAAUCAUCGAAUCUUUGAACGCACAUUGCGCCCCCUGGUAUUCCGGGGGGCAUGCCUGUUCGAGCGUCAUUUCACCACUCAAGCCUCGCUUGAUAUUGGGCAACGCGGUCCGCCGCGUGCCUCAAAUCGACCGGCUGGGUCUUCUGUCCCCUAAGCGUUGUGGAAACUAUUCGCUAAAGGGUGUUCGGGAGGCUACGCCGUAAAACAACCCCAUUUCUAAGGUUGACCUCGGAUCAGGUAGGGAUACCCGCUGAACUUAAGCAUAUCAAUAAGCGGAGGA
rnacentral:misc_RNA from 1 species